GGAGUAACAUACCUAUAAGACUGGGAUAACUUCGGGAAACCGGAGCUAAUACCGGAUAAUAUUUUGAACCGCAUGGUUCAAAAGUGAAAGACGGUCUUGCUGUCACUUAUAGAUGGAUCCGCGCUGCAUUAGCUAGUUGGUAAGGUAACGGCUUACCAAGGCAACGAUGCAUAGCCGACCUGAGAGGGUGAUCGGCCACACUGGAACUGAGACACGGUCCAG
rnacentral:rRNA from 1 species